GAUGAACGCUGGCGGCGUGCCUAAUACAUGCAAGUCGAGCGAAUGGAUUAAGAGCUUGCUCUUAUGAAGUUAGCGGCGGACGGGUGAGUAACACGUGGGUAACCUGCCCAUAAGACUGGGAUAACUCCGGGAAACCGGGGCUAAUACCGGAUAACAUUUUGAACCGCAUGGUUCGAAAUUGAAAGGCGGCUUCGGCUGUCACUUAUGGGUGGACCCGCGUCGCAUUAGCUAGUUGGUGAGGUAACGGCUCACCAAGGCAACGAUGCGUAGCCGACCUGAGGGGGUGGUCGGCCGCACUGGGACUGCGACACGGCCCAGACUCCUACGGGAGGCAGCAGUAGGGAAUCUUCCGCAAUGGACGAAAGUCUGACGGAGCAACGCCGCGUGAGUUAUGAAGGCUUUCGGGUCGUAAAACUCUGUUGUUAGGGAAGAACAAGUGCUAGUUGAAUAAGCUGACACCUUGACGGUACCUAACCAGAAAGCCACGGCUAACUACGUGCCAGCCGCCGCAGUAA
rnacentral:rRNA from 1 species